AAAUUUGAAAUCAGUGUUGGUUCUUUAUAAAAUAUGAAAAUGAAUAGAAGUAAUAUUUAAAAUAGAAAAUCAUCGGUUAAAUGUAAAGGGUCUCCCAAGUAGGACGCAAUUUUUAAAUUUGGCGCCAUCCGAAGUGUCAUUGUUUGACAUUUGAACAAUUGUUAUUGUUUGCUAGUAGGAGGUACAAGCGAUGGUAAAAGAAUACAGUCGCAUCGUAAUCGCACAAAAUUUGAAAUUUAAAAAUUUGAAUGAAAAGUUAUUAAAAUUCGUAAAAAUUGUUGAAAAAUGAGUAUCAUAAUAAUCUCCGAUUAACAUCGUAUAACAAAACAUAUAAAAAUAUAUUUAUUUUUGAAAAAAAACAAAAAACAUUUCAAAAAAAAUCCUUGAGAAAUUCACGAGAAGCAAGUGCAUUUUCAACUUGUCGCUAUGUAGCGUGGUUUUUGGGCCGAAGGAAUCACUGAACUUUUAUUUAUAAAAAUUAGGCUGGUCAAUCGAAAACAGUCAAUGAUGUUCGGUAUCGUGAAAUGAUAACCAGUUUUUUAUACCCUCCACCAUAGUAUGGAGGGUAUAUUAGGUUUAUCAUUCCGUUUGUAACAUAUUUUAGACCCCACAAAUGUAUUGAAAAUGGGCCAUAUAGGUUCACGUCUUCAUAUAGCCCCAUUAUAACGGUACCUCCCGAUAUGCGGUAUUUUGAUGAUUUUAGCGACACUAUUUACCGGAAUUGUUUCGAAAUUCACCGACUUUUUUUCUAAGUUUCGCAUUUGAAUAUUGUAAUGGCUUAUGACAAAAGUUAUCUAUGCAGGUCCAUGUCGUUGUAUUGACCAUAAUAUAACAGCUACAUUCGGUAUUUCUAAGAUUUUAACAGAAUUUUUAACGGAUUUUAUUGUUUUUGAGAAUUGCCAAAUUCGUUCCAAGUGGUGGAGGGUAUUCAUAUUUCGGCCUGGCCGAACUUACAGCUUUUUUACUUGUUCUUACCUAGUAUUGAAGAAAUUAAUGUGGAUGACAUGUGGUAUAAACAAAACAGCGCCACAUGUCAUACAGGCGUCUGUGCCAGCAAAGUCGCGGCGACUAUCUGCACGAUAUCUUGCCAUACAUAACCACAUCAUGCCUACUUUACAAUAUAAUAAAGUUAUAAGACUUUUUUUAGUAUAUGUGUUUUAUUUAAGUUUUGAAAAUUGUGUUCCAGUUGGGACACCCUUUAUUUCAAUGUAAUUCCUCUGUUACAUUAUACAUUUAAUAUUGAGCGAUCUUAUUUAUUUUCCACCUUUUAAAUUUGUCAUUCCGUUUGUGACAUCUCUAAAUAUCCUUCUUAGAUCCCAUAAAGUAUAUAUAUUCAUGAACAGCAUACAAUUCUAUGUUGAUUUAAUGGUGUCCAUCUUUCUAUCAGCCCCCAUGAUUUGACAUAGAGUUUUAAAAUUUAGCACAAUAGUUUGUAUUGUGUCUAGGAUGGUUGGCAUGGUUGCAAAUGAGUUAACAUCCUGAUAUUCCUUAUUUUUAUGAAAUUUUUUACAUUUUUCAAUUCGGCUGGAAUUUAUAGGAGAACGACAUAUCGCCUUGAAUGUUGUUGACUAAAUCGCGGUUAAAAGCUUUGAAAUUCACGUCAUAGUUAACACUGGGGACUGUAGUCUUGGGAGUUAUUAUGUUCAAUAAUAUCAGUUUAUAUUUUAAGCCAUUGUCAUUGUGGCAUCUCAAAUCUCAUAGUGUGAACACUAACUAGGCAGUGUCAAAUCAAUUCUAGGCAAACAUCUUCGUUUUUUCUGUCCUCCACCAUACAUAACAUGGAGGGUAUAUUAAGUUCGUCAUUCCGUUUGUAACUCUUCCAAAUAAUAAUUUUAGACCUAACAAAGUAUUCUUGAUUAGUCUUUUGUAUACAGGCAGGUCAAGUUCGGAGGUGGGCUAUAUCGGUCCACGAUAUCGUAUGGUCCCCAUAUAACAAUACCCCCGAUAUUCGGUAUUUUGACGAUUUUAGCGACCUUUUUAGACCGGAAUUGUUUAAAAUUUCGUAUUUAAAGUAUAAAGCUCGUAAUGAGUCCUUCAACCCAUGCCAGAAAAUUGUCUAUGCAGGUCCAUGUCUUCGUAUAGCCCACAUAAGUGAUAUUUUUUGAAAAAAAAAAAAAAAAAAAAAAAAACGUAAAACGUAAAACGGAGCGAAAGUACGGUGUCUGAAUAUAUUUUUUUCAAGAUAAUUCCAUAAAUUGACUGGCAGCAUUGACUUCCAUCAUGAAUGAUAACGUGGCAUCUACAAAUCAAUGGCUCAAUAAGGAUGGUUGCUCAACUUCAAAGAAACUAUAAAAUGCAAUUCUAAGCUGGAGUUUUAUUAUACCAAAUAGUCUUUUAAAUAUGCAACAGUUGGUUUUGUUUAUUUUCAAUUUAUUUAUUUUUUUUUUUCAACAAAACUCUUAUGUUGAGGAACACCCGCGAAACAAGAAUGGAAUUUUAGGCUUAUUCCACAAGAUUGAAUCUUAAAUUGUAGGACAAUACAGUUGGAUCACAUGUGAAAUAAUUUAAAAUUAUUGUUUUUUUAUUCAAAAUGUGUAUGUGUUUUGACAGAAUAAGAGCACCAAAAGAAAAAAAUUGUAUUUAGGGCUUAGCUUUAUUCUACCUUCUGUAAUUGUGCCAUGGGCACUGCUUCCAAUCGAUUUUAUUUCAUUUUUUUUGAUUGCCUGGCUUAACAUGUUGGAUUAAUUUGUGCAUGUGUGUACUCUUUUCAAUUAUAUGAAAAUUGUUGUGAAAAUAUUCAAAUUCAGUUGUAAUCAAAAUGUGAUUAUGUCAUGGGAAUACAUAAUCACAGGAGCAUGGUAGAAAUACCAGGUAGCAACAUAGGCGAAUAUUACAACAAAGCAACUUUUUUGGAAACUUGAUAUGUCAAAUUUAUAAGCAAAGCGAAUUUACUUGACAUAUAAAAUUUGAGGCAAAUUGGUUUGCACCAAUCAGAAAAUUACAUUUUGAAAUACAAACAAUUUUGUUUUCUUUUAUUGAAAUUGUAAACAUUUUAGUUUUGCAUAGAACUUGUAAGAUUUUGCGAAUUGUCAUAGAAGAUUUUAGUUAACUCUAUCAACGUUGUGCGUAUCAUUUUUAUCAUAGUAAGCAAUCUCCAAAUCGGAUAUAAAUGUGGGAAAAAUGUUAUUCGACUUCCCCAGAUCAGUUAUCAAUGGUCGUUGUGAUGUGUGUUGUGAAAUUUGGUUUCGGCUUUGUGACAAAAUUCUGGCCGCCCGGACAAAAAACAAAUCUAAUUGCGGCUAGUUACCCUCCAAAUAAGGCAUAUUUGGUGCAAUCACAAUUUUGGCAAACUACUCAACUCGAUUUGUGCGAUUCACAUAAAAAUUCAAAGAAAGUCUUUGGAGAUUGUUGAAUUCUAUCCAGGAUUCUAGGGUCUUUGUAUUGGUAGAAACUUGUGUGUGGCUAAUGGAUAUGGAAUCCUAAAUAAAAUCGUACUUCGAUUUCA